AGCUAUAAGACAAGUAUUUAUAGUUCUACCUGCUCAAUGAUUUAAUUUAAAUUGCCGCGGUACUUUGACCGUGCUAAGGUAGCAUAAUCAGUUGUCUUUUAAUUGAAGUCUAGAAUGAAUGGGAAUACGAGGGUCUUACUGUCUCCUUGAUAAUAACUUGAAUUUACUAAAUAGGUGAAAAGGCCUAUGUUAGACAAAAGACGAGAAGACCCUUAGAAUUUUUAAUUUUUUUUGUUGGGGCAACACCUAAUAAGUUUAAAACCAUUAGGAUUUUUCAUAUAACGGCUAUUUCAUAUAUAAAUAAAUUACCUGAGGGAUAACAGCAUAAUCUAUUUUUAGGAUUGUGACCUCGAUGUUGGACUAGGAAAGAUAUAGGCUAACCGUCUUUAUUAAUUUGGUUCUGUUCGAACUUUACCUCCU
rnacentral:rRNA from 1 species